rnacentral:misc_RNA from 1 species
CGCCAAGUCGCCAGAAGACGCCAAGAACAACAC